rnacentral:rRNA from 1 species
AUUGAACGCUGGCGGCAGGCCUAACACAUGCAAGUCGAGCGGAUGAAGGGAGCUUGCUCCUGGAUUCAGCUGCGGACGGGUGAGUAAUGCCUAGGAAUCUGCCUUGUAGUGGGGGAUAACGUCCGGAAACGGGCGCUAAUAUCGCAUACGUCCUUAUGUAGAAAGUGGGGGAUCUUCGGUCCUCACGCUUUCAGAUGAGCCUAGGCCGGAUUAGCUAGUUGGUGUGGUAAAGGCCUACCAAGGCGACGUUCCGUAACUGGUCUGAGAGGAUGAUCAGUCACACUGGAACUGAGACACGGUCCAGACUCCUACGGGAGGCAGCAGUGGGGAAUAUUGGACAAUGGGCGAAAGCCUGAUCCAGCAAUGCCGCGUGAGUGAAGAAGGUCUUCGGAUUGUAAAGCACUUUAAGUUGGGAGGAAGGGAAGUAAGUUAAUACCUUGCUGUUUUGACGUUACCAAAAGAAUAAGCCCCGGCUAACUUCGUG